rnacentral:rRNA from 1 species
UACGUAGGGUGCAAGCGUUGUCCGGAAUUACUGGGCGUAAAGAGUUCGUAGGCGGUUUGUCGCGUCGUUUGUGAAAACCAGCAGCUCAACUGCUGGCUUGCAGGCGAUACGGGCAGACUUGAGUACUGCAGGGGAGACUGGAAUUCCUGGUGUAGCGGUGAAAUGCGCAGAUAUCAGGAGGAACACCGGUGGCGAAGGCGGGUCUCUGGGCAGUAACUGACGCUGAGGAACGAAAGCGUGGGGAGCGAACAGG